rnacentral:rRNA from 1 species
CCUACGGGGGGCUGCAGUGGGGAAUAUUGGACAAUGGGGGCAACCCUGAUCCAGCCAUGCCGCGUGUGUGAAGAAGGCCCUCGGGUUGUAAAGCACUUUCAGUGAGGAAGAACGCCUGGUGGUUAAUACCCAUCAGGAAAGACAUCACUCACAGAAGAAGCACCGGCUAACUCCGUGCCAGCAGCCGCGGUAAUACGGAGGGUGCGAGCGUUAAUCGGAAUUACUGGGCGUAAAGCGCGCGUAGGUGGAUUGAUAAGCCGGUUGUGAAAGCCCCGGGCUCAACCUGGGAACGGCAUCCGGAACUGUCAAGCUAGAGUGCAGGAGAGGAAGGUAGAAUUCCCGGUGUAGCGGUGAAAUGCGUAGAGAUCGGGAGGAAUACCAGUGGCGAAGGCGGCCUUCUGGACUGACACUGACACUGAGGUGCGAAAGCGUGGGUAGCAAACAGGAUCAGAUACCCUGGUAGUC